CAGUCGCCGCGGGAAUACGUAGGUCCCGAGCGUUGUCCGGAUUUAUUGGGCGUAAAGCGAGCGCAGGCGGUCAAUUAAGUCUGAUGUGAAAGCCCCCGGCUCAACCGGGGAGGGUCAUUGGAAACUGGUUGACUUGAGUGCAGAAGAGGAGAGUGGAAUUCCAUGUGUAGCGGUGAAAUGCGUAGAUAUAUGGAGGAACACCAGUGGCGAAGGCGACUCUCUGGUCUGUAACUGACGCUGAGGCUCGAAAGCGUGGGUAGCAAACAGGAUUAGAUACCCCAGUAGUCCCUGUCUCUUAUAA
rnacentral:rRNA from 1 species